GAUGAACGCUGGCGGCGUGCCUAAUACAUGCAAGUCGAGCGAACGGACGAGAAGCUUGCUUCUCUGAUGUUAGCGGCGGACGGGUGAGUAACACGUGGAUAACCUACCUAUAAGACUGGGAUAACUUCGGGAAACCGGAGCUAAUACCGGAUAAUAUUUUGAACCGCAUGGUUCAAAAGUGAAAGACGGUCCUGCUGUCACUUAUAGAUGGAUCCGCGCUGCAUUAGCUAGUUGGUAAGGUAACGGCUUACCAAGGCAACGAUGCAUAGCCGACCUGAGAGGGUGAUCGGCCACACUGGAACUGAGGCACGGUCCAGACUCCUACGGGAGGCAGCAGUAGGGAAUCUUCCGCAAUGGGCGAAAGCCUGACGGUGCAACGCCGCGUGAGUGAUGAAGGUCUUCGGAUCGUAAAACUCUGUUAUUAGGGAAGAACAUAUGUGUAAGUAACUGUGCACAUCUUGACGGUACCUAAUCAGAAAGCCACGGCUAACUACGUG
rnacentral:rRNA from 1 species